CUCAUGGCAGUAGUGAUAAACAUUUCUACCCAUUUUAAUUAAGAAUUAAAUUGUUGGACAAAAAACCACACCCAGCAACUAGAAACACCCGAUGUAGACGAAAAAUAAAUAGAGAGAAUUAUCACUGUUAAAAAUAGACAACCACUCGUAGGGAGACCCAUUACACAAAAACCACUACGCGUAACCACCGGAAUGCCUCCACGAGCUUCCACACGCUUCCACCGGAAUGACUAUGCGCUGCCGCACGUGCUAUGCCGGAACCACCACUGGCUGCCGCGAACUUAUCAGUAAUCACUACAGGACCGUGCGAGCGCUUAGAUCAGGCACGAAUAUCGUAAAAUCGCGCCGAAACACGCAACGGAUCUAUGAAAUUGCAUGAUCUGGCCACUGCAGGUCUUCUCCUCCUUGUGAUCUGGCUGGCGCGGGUCUUCUUUUUUGGCCGUGCGCUGUUCUCUCCCUCGCCGUACAGACCCGACCUAACACAAAUCUUCUUCCGCCUCAAUCAGCACACGAACGGGGAGGACCUGCCGUGAUGCACGAUUCGUCUUAUUCUGGUUCAAUGCCACACGCAAUCUGGUCGCCAUCCACAGAUCUGUCGCGACUACUCUGGAACAUCGGAUAGAUCUGCCGGAUUGUUUGGCUGGUGGAGAGCCGCCGCGCCGCCGCCUCUGGUUUCUCCUUCAGUUGGUGGUCGGGACACAGAUCAGAUCUGAUCUGAUUCUUCUCUCCCUUCUGAUCUAAUCUAGUCUGGUUCUUUCUCAAAUCCUAUCUUGAUACCAUGUAAUUAAAUAGAAAAGUACAGAAAUUCUUUCUGAUUAUUUUGUUUUUGAGAUAUAUAUACAUACAAAGUGAUCAAUAUAAAAAAACUAACAUAAAUUAUCUAUUAAUUUACUGUUUAUAAUUAUGUUAAUAUAUAUAAAAAGUCGCUUAGCAAUGAUUACACUAUUAUACAAAAAAAUAUUAUGUAAUCUUUUAACAAUAUGUUUCAAUUGACAAAGAAAAUAGGUUGGAAGACAAAGAACUGAAAUCCCCUGCUGCUGCUCGUUUACAAGAGGAAAACAACUAGCAAAAAACGUGGCAAACAUCUGGAAGGAAAGGGGCACGUGGCAUGAAUUGAGCUAAACAUAAAAAGGUACAUGUCAACGGUACCUGACAACUUGGUACAAGAGCCAGACGAUUCUGACGAGCCACUUGCAAGUUUUAUGGUGAUGGCAGAAAGCAAAAAAGAGAUAGUAGUUAACGAACCACAAAAAUGGCAGACCCUAGAGGAUAACGUGAGAGAAGUUGACCGGAAUCUCUCUAACUUCAUGAAUGAGAUGUAUGACGCAGAACAUCAAACCAAAGCAUUACCCUACUAGAGGUUCGAACAGCUUGCGGAGAUAUUGCAAGGGGGAGCGAGGGUGGGAGAAUCAUCACCACAUAUGUCAUUCUCCUUUUGUAUAGACUCAUGUUCGGAGUAUACUCUCCAUCCCAAAGCAACGAGAUGUUGGGGGUAAUUACAUGCAAAAGCCGCGGACAACCAGUCGGGGAACCCUACACCAAAGAUGGACAUUCCCACCUUCAGUGGUCAAAACCUUAGAACAUGAAUAAGGGGAUGCUUGAAAUACUUUAUUGUGUAUAACAUACCUGAAGAAAACAAGGUGGAAACAACGACCCGGUACUUAGGAGAUAAGGCUGAAAUAUGAUUCUAUGGUUUGACGAAUUCCCUAAAAA